rnacentral:rRNA from 1 species
AACGUAGGAGGCAAGCGUUAUCCGGAGUAACUGGGCGUAAAGGGCGGGUAGGUGGUUCGAUAAGUUGGUUAUGAAAGCUCCUGGCUAAACUGGGAGAGGCUGACCAAGACUGUCAGACUUGAGUGGAGAAGAGGUAAACGGAAUUCCGCGUGUAGUGGUGAAAUGCGUAGAGAUGCGGAAGAACACCAGUGGCGAAGGCGGUUUACUGGUCUCCAACUGACACUGAGCCGCGAAAGCAUGGGUAGCGAACGGG